rnacentral:rRNA from 1 species
UACGUAGGGCGCAAGCGUUGUCCGGAAUUAUUGGGCGUAAAGAGCUCGUAGGCGGCUUGUCACGUCGGGUGUGAAAGCCCGGGGCUUAACCCCGGGUCUGCAUUCGAUACGGGCAGGCUAGAGUGUGGUAGGGGAGAUCGGAAUUCCUGGUGUAGCGGUGAAAUGCGCAGAUAUCAGGAGGAACACCGGUGGCGAAGGCGGAUCUCUGGGCCAUUACUGACGCUGAUGCACGAAAGCUAGGGGAGCAAACGGG